GCGAUGUUAGGUUAGUGGCAAACUUGAAGCUUCCCAAGCUUUAGCCCCGGGUUCGAUUCCCGGACAUCGCA